rnacentral:rRNA from 1 species
UUAUCCGGAUUUAUUGGGUUUAAAGGGUGCGUAGGCGGAUUAAUAAGUCAGUGGUGAAAUCUUUCGGCUCAACCGAGAAACUGCCAUUGAUACUGUNAAUCUUGAGUUCGGCUGAAGUANGCGGAAUGUGUAAUGUAGCGGUGAAAUGCUUAGAUAUUACACAGAACACCAAUUGCGUAGGCAGCUUACUAGACCGACACUGACGCUGAGGCACGAAAGCGUGGGGAGCGAACAGGAUUAGAUACCCGGGNAGUCCACGCCGUAAACUAUGAUUACUCG